AUGCGACAGCUUCAGCUCGUUCCCAACAUGAGGGCUCAUAAUGAUACUUGGUUUGCAGAUUACUUGCUAAGGGUCAGCAAUGGCACCGAGGAUGUCGACGAUCAAGGCAACAUACUACUCCCUAAAGACAUUUGUCUGCCUUCUACAGGCGAGGUUGACGACUUGGAGAAGCUUAUUGACCACGUGUUUCCGAGUCUAGAUGAGAACUUGACUGAUUCGAAUUACAUGACAUGUCGCGCAAUCCUUUCCACCACAAACGACAAUGUCGAUAAGAUAAACAUCCGCAUGAUAGAGCGGUUUCAGGGAGAUGAAGUAAUCUACCAUAGCUUUGACAGUGCGGAGGAUGACCCGUAUGGCUACUACGCUCAAGAGUUUCUGAAUGGAUUGACUCCCAAUGGUCUUCCUCCGCAUGCACUCAAACUAAAGCUAAAAUGUCCUGUCAUACUUCUAAGGAACACUGACCCAGCUAACGGACUGUGUAAUGGCACUAGGCUUGUUGUUAGAGGAUUUGAGAGGAACACCAUUGAUGCAGAAAUUGUGAUUGGACAACACGCUGGCAGGAGGGUCUUCCUUCCUCGAAUACCUCUCUGCCCAUCUGAAAAUGACAUGUUUCCGUUCAAGUUUAAGAGGAAGCAAUUUCCUAUAAGACUCAGCUUUGCUAUGACCAUUAACAAGGCUCAAGGGCAGAAAAUCCCUAUUGUUGGUGUCUACCUACCCAAUCCUGUGUUCUCUCAUGGUCAACUCUAUGUUGCUUUGUCUUGA
rnacentral:rRNA from 1 species